UACGGGGGGUGCGAGCGUGUCCGGAAUCACUGGGCGUAAAGGGCGCGUAGGUGGUUUGAUAAGGGUGUGGUGAAAGUCCGGAGCUCAACUCCGGAUCUGCCGUGCCGACUGUCAAACUCGAGGGCUGUAGAGGCAGACGGAAUUCCGGGUGUAGCGGUGGAAUGCGUAGAGAUCCGGAGGAAGACCGGUGGCGAAGGCGGUCUGCUGGGCAGUUUCUGACACUGAGGCGCGGACAGCGUGGGGGAGCAAACAGG
rnacentral:rRNA from 1 species